UUUCUUCUGCGCCUGUUUCGCUUGACCGACGAUGUCGAAUACAGAAGGGGCAUGAUAGCCGAUGAGGGGGAACGCUGUGUACGGAUAGCGCUCCUCUAUCGGCCGACCACUCCGGCUGCGUUUUGGGGAGCGCGGCUUUCAGACUGAAGCAACAGCAAGAGUCAGUAUAUAUGUGUAAAAAAUGAGGGGAGAUGAAAAUCGGCUAGGAAAAAGAGAGGUACCUCGGCGUUCGGGUCAAUGUUGGCUGGAUCCAGGAGAUUGCAGUAUACUGCUGCAGAAGCGCAGAACAAGUACUGUUUCCA
rnacentral:lncRNA from 1 species